AUCAUUUCGAUAUUAGUGAAACAACUGACACAGCAUUAAAUGCAUCACCUGUUGAGGCCUGUGCAGCAGACGAAUAUGAAAAUGAGGAUAAGGAGUGGGUGGAUUCACACUGGGGUACCAAGAUGCAGGAAGAGGAACAGGAUCUCCCUCCCUAUCCUGACUUGGAAGAUCUACAAGUUACCGAGAUGAAUGAAGUGGAACAGGACCUGCCUCCCGAC